UGGGGGUUGUUGUUUUCGUAAAUAGUUCGCACACAGUGGGACCGGCAGGGUAGGUUCGAGUGGAUGCAAUUGAUGCGGCAAUGGGUGUUUGCACCCCGCCCUGACAGUCGACAGCUUGCGACUGGUGUGUGUAUGUGUGUGUGUGUGUGGGUAGGCAGGGUCGUACCCGGUUCGCGCCAGUUCGCGCUCGAAGCGCCCGCCAUUAUGUAGAUCAACGGAGGGAGGGGUGUAGCAGCGCGUCAUCUUUGGAACCGGUUGCGUCGCGCGGUUGUGUGUUGUCUAGCGGAAGUAGUGUCAAUCCGUGUGGCAGGGGUUGCGUGUAGUGGGAGCGCGCGCUCUUUCCAAUUGGGGGGGUUGGGUAUCGGUGUUUUUUUGUUUUCUUUCUUCCUCUUUGUUUUGGUGCAGUGUGCGCGCACGGAUGAACGAACGCGUGGGCAUCGUGGAGUGGCGCACGUCGGCACAUCGCGGCACAAACUUCGGGCGCAAGGUCUCAGCAGGCGAAGGUCGUCCAUCGACUGGCGGUACCGCGCACCGUGGCCAGAGCGGGCCCGGCUUCUUGUGUAAGCAACAAGCUGUAGUGACCAAAUCUCCAAGCAACAACGGCCACGGCAUUGCUAGGCGCAACACAACAGUUUCUAAAAAUAACCCCUCCGGAUUGCUUGGAUUGCUUAUCGCGCUCGUACACUACGCCUCCCCGGGCUACUACGCAACUAAGAAAUGGGCUCUGCGGGGGCCGAUUCUACCGUUUUCAUUUGGCAUCGAAGGGAAGUUCCACAUACAUACAACCUCCACAACACGGUUUUGUUGUCCAUAGUGUUUAGCACCCUCAUCCAAGGGCCAUUGUUGUUGAUCGGGCUUCGAUCACCACCGCGUAUUACGCUGGCAAAAAAGGUAGGGGAAGUCAGGGUUGGUUCGACACUGCGGAUGUCCCGUAACUAUAUGCGGUAAACGCUGGACUCAAUUAAAAUACAUCAGAAGCUACAAAACCCGAGAUGUCCACAAACCUAACAGCUUAUAAUUAUGGAAUUUUGCUAGCAUUAUCACAUAGAACGUCAGCCAAACUCGGACAUAAAUAAUGUAUUUAAAAUUUGGUUUAGGAAUUUUAAAAUUAAUAUUAUUACGGUUCGCACGUAUUUUAGGUUUAUUUUAGGCCGGUUUAGGCUUAACUGAAGAAAUUCAUUCCGUAAACCAGAUGCUAUCUCCGCAGCUCCUACUAUGUGGAGCCUGGUUCCAUGGUAUUUGUAACGAAACUUUUUGUUCUUGCUUGUAACUUCAUUUCUUUCGCAUGUUUCACUAAUAUUUUAAUGUCAAUUUGUCUUAAAAUUGGUACGAAACACUUUGUUAAACUUCAAUAAAAAACAAUCGGACAUCCGAGUUUUUUUUUAAAGUUAUAACCAAUGUGUCAAAAUCACUCCAUCAUGGUGUCGAUCUUACCCGCACUGCAGUCUUGAUGCAACAAAAAACACGUUUUUUAUAUCAAAAUGUUAUCAAAAUCAAUCCGGGAACCGUAGUUUCUCAUGAGAUUGGAUAUAAUGAAUCAAAAAAGCUCUUUCGAUGUCUGCUAAUAAGCUUACAUUGGCAAAAGUAUUGCAAUCAGAAACCCUUAAGGUGUCGAAACUACCCCCAGUUCCCCUACAAGCGCAAGUGACCAUGCACGUGCCCCGUGAGCUGGUAAAGGUAAUUUCUCAAAUCUCGCCCCUAGUUUGCUCAGUGUCAUCCGCCGGUCCGUACCGGAGCGUGCUGAUAAGCACGCGUAAGCCACUGCCCUACUGCUAGACCAUUGGCCGGCCCAAUGCCACCAAAACUGGGAGCAGCAGCAGCAGCAGCAGCAACAGCCUUGUCGGCAGACAUUGUCAGUUCCGUACGCCCGGGGACCAAUCUUAUCUGCCCCGCAAGCCUCGUGAUUGUGUCCGAAUGUUGUGUUCUUCCUUUCCAACCCCUCUUAUGCUACUUAGCAAUAAUAAUCUACUCCCCUGUUUUUCCCUGCACGAGACGCAAGAUCGUGCGAAAUCACCGACACCGUGCUAAGCCGGGGCCGGGUUCACCCAAAUUCAUGGCCUUCACGUUAUAUCGGUUCACGGGAAAGAGGAGAGUACGGGGAUUUGCGGGUUGGCCUUCUUUUGGGGUCCGGUCCUCGGGGAGAUGGACUUGCGCAAAAGUCACUCGCGGUUAUCUACACGCGAGGUGUGCGCCCGUUUCUAGGUCGUUCACGUUCGCUGAAAUCGAACUCACUGCUCAGCCGGCAGUAGAAGAAGAAAGAGGUGGGGGAAGCCUUCGUGUGCACAUCCUCGCUCACGCAGAAACGUCGCAAGAUACAAGCGGACCGGACCCCCAUCCCAUUAAAAGACACACACACAUACGGCGGGCGUGUGCGCGCGUGCUGGGGCAGGUUGGUGCAUUGUGACGCCCGAAGGUUAGGUUCCGGUGUCGGGUGUGCACCAGGCGGGAGGGGCAUGUACGCGACUCGAUUCCAUCAUCGCUUCCCGAUGACGAUGAGUGCGGAAACGGGGUGUAAUGACCAGCACCAAGGUAGCCGACUAGCAAGUGGGUUGCCGAAUCACCCAGAGAAAGACACACACAUUGGCAUCUCUUUUUCACUCUGUCGCGUUGGCGGGAUCUUCCGGAACAUUGGAAGAGGGUUGCCAAUCGAAAGAAGUCCUUGAACGGGGGCUGGGUUUGUCAUUGGCGCCGGUCGUCGAUCCGAGUCGCUUUCUUGCACGAUCUUCAUCCUACACGUUUGAGUUAGCAGCAGUAUCAAAGUCAGUCAGUCGGUCGGUCGGUCGGUCGGUCGGUCGAUGAACGCCUUGGAUAGCUCAAGCUUCCAUGCACCCUGUUCAUGGGCAAGUUCACUGUGUCAGUACAUCCCCCAUUGGGAGUGAACAGGGGCUUUCCGAUGACAAAGAGAAUGGACCACCGCGUUGAAGUACUUGAAUCGGACCAUCCUCUCCACUGAACCCGGUGUGUCGGUGUGGCCUUCAACGCGGGCGUAUCCUUCAGCUGCAGGUUCACACCCCCUCUUUGCAGUGUGCGCAUGGGUAUACACCUUGGACAGCAACCCAGCAACCAGUAUCUUGCUGGGUAAUUUUACAUUCACCUUAAGUCAUCAUGAUCCAAGAUGUUUUUGGAAUUGCAAAAGUGUGUCAAUUUCCUCUUGCACACUAUCAGUGGUUUUAUGUUUGCUAUCAGCCAGUGCUGUGCUGUCUCAGUGGGAUUCUGCUUGUACUCUUUGUAAAAGUUAUAUUUUCAUUCCUGUAGUCAAUUGAAUCAACGGCCCGAGUGUAUGGCAUAGGACAAUUUACCACUAUUUCCUUUUGACUCCUGCUCGUAUACAUUCUUGUAAAGAACGAUUGAUCAAAAUAGACCUUUUUCAUUGUAGCCUCAUAUGUAGCCUGAGGAGCCUGUAUGCCCUGUUUGUUCGUGAAAUAAGCUUAAGCAUGAGCAGGUCAUUAUGACCACAAAUGUGGCACAUUGAGUUUGACUUCAAAUUAAGGCAUUUUUGUACACCUUGGCUAAUGGACAAAGAACACUAAAUGUAAUGGACAAAGAAUGAUAACCUUUCAUGUUAGAAAUCAAAUCAAUACGCAGAAAGAUUAUCUAUAGAAUAGACAGCUUUCAGACUAGCUUUAGAACCGGUUAAUCAAGAUAUUUGCAAGUUCGACAAUUUUUUACUGUACCAUCAAUUUAAUCUUGUGAUCUUCUGAUCUAUGGCUUCCCGAGUAGUUCCGUAAACUAAUUCACGGAAAACUGUAUUAUUAUACCGUUGAGGAUACUUUUGUUUUGCUCAGAUCGGUCUUUAAAAAAUCUCGGAAAACCAAAGACGUAAAAUUUAUAACGACCACUCAAUGUCCACAGCCUUCGUUAGCUUGCAAUGGCUACACAGCUUGCCAUUUUUGGCCGAUUGGCCGAGUUGCGUAAUGCGUAGUACAGAACGUAAUUCAAGUUUAGCAGGUCCAAAUGGGCAGUCCCGUCGUACAGGACCAUCCUUCUUCGUGGUACUGAAUGAGUCUCGAAAGCCUGUAUAGGCCGACAUGUCCACGUAGGACGUUGCGCCAAGUAGACGUGUAGAAGUUCAUCAUUGCAAUUUAAGUAAAU